GGCUCAGGACGAACGCUGGCGGCGUGCUUAACACAUGCAAGUCGAGCGGAAAGGCCCUUCGGGGUACUCGAGCGGCGAACGGGUGAGUAACACGUGGGCAACCUACCCCCAGCACCGGGAUAACCCCGGGAAACCGGGGCUAAUACCGGAUAUGCACCUCGGGUGGCAUCACCUGAGGUGGAAAGCUUUUGCGGCUGGGGAUGGGCCCGCGGCCUAUCAGCUUGUUGGUGGGGUAACGGCCUACCAAGGCGACGACGGGUAGCCGGCCUGAGAGGGCGACCGGCCACACUGGGACUGAGACACGGCCCAGACUCCUACGGGAGGCAGCAGUGGGGAAUAUUGCGCAAUGGGCGAAAGCCUGACGCAGCGACGCCGCGUGGGGGAAGAAGGCCUUCGGGUUGUAAACCCCUUUCAGCAGGAACGAAGCGAAAGUGACGGUACCUGCAGAAGAAGCACCGGCUAACUACGUGCCAGCAGCCGCGGUAAUACGUAGGGUGCAAGCGUUGUCCGGAUUUACUGGGCGUAAAGAGCUCGUAGGCGGUCUGUCGCGUCGGAUGUGAAAACCCAGGGCUCAACCCUGGGCCUGCAUUCGAUACGGGCAGACUAGAGUGCGGCAGGGGAGACUGGAAUUCCUGGUGUAGCGGUGAAAUGCGCAGAUAUCAGGAGGAACACCGGUGGCGAAGGCGGGUCUCUGGGCCGCAACUGACGCUGAGGAGCGAAAGCGUGGGGAGCGAACAGGAUUAGAUACCCUGGUAGUCCACGCUGUAAACGUUGGGCGCUAGGUGUGGGGGACUUUCCACGUCCUCCGUGCCGCAGCUAACGCAUUAAGCGCCCCGCCUGGGGAGUACGGCCGCAAGGCUAAAACUCAAAGGAAUU
rnacentral:rRNA from 1 species